UACGAAGGGGGCUAGCGUUGCUCGGAAUGAUCUGGGCGUAAAGGGCGCGUAGGCGGUUUGCACAGUCAGGCGUGAAAUUCCUGGGCUUAACCUGGGGGCUGCGCUUGAUACGUGUGGACUGGAGUGCGGAAGAGGGUCGUGGAAUUCCCAGUGUAGAGGUGAAAUUCGUAGAUAUUGGGAAGAACACCGGUGGCGAAGGCGGCGACCUGGUCCGUGACUGACGCUGAGGCGCGAAAGCGUGGGGAGCAAACAGG
rnacentral:rRNA from 1 species